AUGCAGACCAAAGCUAUAUUGCAAAAACUAGAAUACGCUGAAUCUUCUCUAGAAGCGAGAGGUCAAGAGAUAGUGUCUUUGCAAGAGCACGUCCAGGAGCUUCGAGAGCAGAAGGAGUUAGAAGGCAAGCAGGCCAAGAGUCUAGAGCAGGAUCUAGACAAAAUGAGCCAAAUCUUGAAGGAGAACCAUUUGGAGUUCCUCAGGCAGACAGAGCAAAUGAACGUGUUCCGGCUUCGUGAAGAAAGCACAAAAGUAGCACUAACAUCAUGCCAGCAGCAAGUGGAUCUGCUUGAGCAAGCGGUGAGGAAGAGAGAGGAAGACAAUGAAACUCUCGUGCAAAAACUCCAGCGGCAAGAAGAAGAACUGAAGACCUUGCAGAAUCUCCAGCUUAGGCUAACCAAGAAGAAUGAAGAGGUUAGGCAUCGCAGGGAGCAAGAGAAGCUCCUGGAAGAAGCCUUGCAUGAGAAGGAGCAAGAGACCAAGGCUGAAGGUGAACUAAAAGAGUUAGAAGAGGAAGUAAGAGCUCUUCGGGAAGAUCUCCAGCAUGUUCAGCCGACUCUGACAAAGAAGGAUGAAGAGAUCAAGAACCACAGAGACAGAGUCGGGUACUUAGAGAAGACUCUGACAGAGAGAGAACAAGAGCUUAGGAGGCAGAGUGAACUCUUGAAGCAAUUAACAUCAGCUUUGCGAUGGAAGGAUGGCGGGGAGACCCUACAGAAACAAAUCCAGAAACUCCAGAAAUGGGAGGAAGAGGAAGCAGAGAAGAGGCGAGUUCUCCAGGAGAGAGACCGUUCCUUGCAAAGACAGAAGGAGCUAACCCAACAACUGGCGCAUGAGCGGAAAGCCAAGGGGGAAGAAUUGGAGCGCACGAUUGCUAUUUUGAAGCAGACCGAGAGCAGAGAAGUCAAAUGGAGAGAGAAGGCACAAGCACUGACUCUUGCCCUUACCAAGAGUGAAAUGGCCAAUGGGACUCUGAGGGAAGAAAUAGCCAUCCUGCAGAGUAUGGUUUCGGAGAGGGACACGGACCGGUUUCAUCAUCAGGUGUCCCUUCUGCAGACGCAGCUGGCACAAGAACGAAAAUACAAGCAGGACUAUAUCGAGUGCUGUGCCAAGACCAGCCAGGAGCUGUCAGACCUUCACCAAGAGCUGUCUCGCUCCUUAGCAGCUGUGGUCAGGGAGCCCAAAGCUGCUGUUCUGGAAGCAGAGACUCGGAAGCUGGGUCAGCCUCUCUGAACCUUCUUUUCCCGUAGAGGAGCAGCUGCAGCAUCACGGCGUUCCGGUCUUGUGCCCUUCCUGGAAAU
rnacentral:lncRNA from 1 species